AGAGUUUGAUCCUGGCUCAGAACGAACGCUGGCGGCGCGCCUAAUACAUGCAAGUCGAGCGAGAAGGUGUAGCAAUACACUUGUAAAGCGGCGAACGGGUGAGGAAUGCAUGGGUAACCUACCCUCGAGUGGGGAAUAACUAGCCGAAAGGUUAGCUAAUACCGCAUACGUUUCCGGGACUUCGGUUCCGGAAAGAAAGCAAUACCGUGGGUAUUGCGCUCAUGGAUGGGCUCAUGUCCUAUCAGCUUGUUGGUGAGGUAACGGCUCACCAAGGCUUCGACGGGUAGCUGGUCUGAGAGGACGAUCAGCCACACUGGCACUGCGACACGGGCCAGACUCCUACGGGAGGCAGCAGUAAGGAAUAUUGCGCAAUGGACGAAAGUCUGACGCAGCGACGCCGCGUGGGGGAUGAAGGUCUUCGGAUUGUAAACCCCUUUCGGGAGGGAAGAUGGAGUGGGUAACCACUUGGACGGUACCUCCAGAAGCAGCCACGGCUAACUUCGUGCCAGCAGCCGCGGUAAUACGAAGGUGGCAAGCGUUGUUCGGAUUCACUGGGCGUACAGGGAGCGUAGGCGGUUGGGUAAGCCCUCCGUGAAAUCUCCGGGCCUAACCCGGAAAGUGCAGAGGGGACUGCUCAGCUAGAGGAUGGGAGAGGAGCGCGGAAUUCCCGGUGUAGCGGUGAAAUGCGUAGAGAUCGGGAGGAAGGCCGGUGGCGAAGGCGGCGCUCUGGAACAUUUCUGACGCUGAGGCUCGAAAGCGUGGGGAGCAAACAGGAUUAGAUACCCUGGUAGUCCAA
rnacentral:rRNA from 1 species